CUCGUCGUUGAAACCCAGCCCGUACGCAGUUGCAGUGACCUAACCCCCUUCCCUGACCCCCAAGCGCGGCGGCGGCGGCCAGAUCCCUCAACCAAGUUAGCCAAGUACGCGGGGCGGAGGUGAUGUUCCACCUUUCCGAUGGCUCUUGCCAGUUGUGUCGCCGGCGGCUCUGUUUGAGGCCGAGCAGAUCUGAUCUCGUGGAGUAUUAAGAUCCGCGUCGCAGUAUGCUCAUCGUUGCCUCCCGAUCUCAGGCUCCGGCAGCGGCUGGUUAGUCGUUUCCUGUCAAUCUCAGUACCUAGGAUCAUCUCGCAUCCUCCUCCACCUCAUCGGCUGCAAGCCGGAGGUGGGCUCCUCGGCUCCUUCCCAACCGGCCUGUGUGACGUGGUGCAAACAUACAAGGCGUCACCACGGUGAUUAAUUCUUCUGGUAAACAAACAAAUUGAGAUGGGAGUAUUAGCUAGUACAUUUGUCCUUCAUGGUUCCAUCUCAAUUUUAUUAGCUAGUUGAUUUAUGCUGUAUCUCUACAUUAUUUUCUUGUACUUGUUCAUGUCAUACUUGCUUACAUGUGAAUGAUGCAUUUUGGUAACUUUGGCCAAUCAGGUCCAGUAACCUGGUGAAUGAUGUAGCACAGUCCAAUUUGGCAUUGUAUUGGUUACAAAAAAGAAUUACAUUGUAUAGCAUCUGGCGGCCUUGGCUUUUGCUGGAGUGUGGAUUUUUAACACCAACCGGAGCUCGUUCAGAUGUGUAUCUGAGCUCUGGGGAAUUUAGUUGACACGUUCGGUCUUAUAUGCAUAGUUUUUUUGUUCGUUUUUGAAAUAACCAGUCACCCAUUUCGGAGUUACUUAUUAUGUUCAAGGUGGGUGAAAACCUAAAAGAGUGAAGUGGUUUUAUCCACAACAAAACUCUAUUCUGCUCAAGAUCACAUCAGUUGUGAAGUUCACCAGUUAGUAUUUGACAUCAAGGUUUUUGCAAAGUUAUUGUAUAUAUAUUUAAUGGUAUAGAUCAAAUUUACACUAAUAGCUCAGUUCUUGAGCUUGCACUCACACACCGUCAUCCAGAAGAUAGCUAGUUACAACCAACACAGCAGAAGAGACUUUUAUAAACACAGCUAUUUCAUUUCGUAGUCGUAGAGCAGAGACACUCGUAGACCACAGGCUGCAGGAAUCUCGUCCAUCGGCACAUUGCUUGGUCUAGGAUCCAUCGCUCGGCCGCGAAUGCAUCUAGACGACCUUGUGGCGACUGGCCAUGGAGGCGGCAGGCGCACGCACUGCCACCGGCGAGAGAUCUUGCAAUUUGAUUGAAGUCUCUGCUAUCACUAAAGCAAGUAUGCAUGUUCGUGAUUUAGGAUUAAUUCUUCUUCCAUGACAUGGGCCUCUCUCUCAUCUUGUUCACUUAUAUUUCCCACGGUGUUGUAGUUUCCUUGUUAUAACAAUUUAUAAUAUAGUGCAUGACAUCACUAAUUUGCAUCCGCAUGAUAGUCAUAAAAAUCCCUUUCCUGUUUGCCGUUGCUACUUAUGCUUUUAGAUAGUCGUUGAAACCUGUAAUUUUCUGUUCAAGCAUUCAUUCUGUGUGGUUACCCGAUCAAAUUUUUUUCCAAGCCAAGUAUGUUUGCAAAUAAUGUUGCAAGAUAUUUCUCAUAUAACACGACCUAGUGGAGUACCCAAACAAACACUAUUGAGCUCUUUUCAGUAAAAAAAAAGUACUAUAGUGAUGAUGUUAUGGUAAGUGUAGAAAUGACUAUUUUGCAGCGUAUAGACUUGUUUAUGCUUCACAAUGUCAAGAAUAGACAUGUUACAUGUUUAUUAUUAUACUUGGUACAUGGUUCACUUGUUUGUAUUAGGGAGUGGCUCUGCUAAUAUUGUUCUUGUCGAACUCAUGACCAGUUUUUGAGUGAUUAAAAUGUCCAGCAGCUUUGAGGGUUCAACACAUGAUUUUAUCAUAAGAUAUGCUCUUUUCUUAUUUGUACAUACGAUAAGCUAUUUGAAAAUGGCAAGUUUUAUAAAGGAUGGAUUUCUAUUAGGACAAUUAUGUAAAUAAUUGUAUUGCUUAAUUCCGCGGGUUGUUACGAAUCUCUAGAAUGCACUAGAAUUAUUUUCCUGUACAAGAUAAAUAAUAUUUGUAUAAUUUGUUCAUUAUUGCUAAGUUAGGAUUAUCCACAAAAUAGUUGGCUUGUCUGCCAUUUCCAACAUAGAAACAUACUUUAGGUUGCCUUUUGCGAUUAAUGUCAUAUCUUCUCUAUUUAUCCUUCCUUGUAGUGUGUGCAGCACACAGUUAGAUGGUGGUUGUUUAUGUAUAUUUAUUUGAACAGCUCAUGAUUAAUUUUUUAAGUAUGAAUGUAUGGCACAUACAUGGACUUGCGCUGAGGCUGGUCACAAUGAGGAGGAACUUAGGAGUAACAUCACACACUCCAAUACAACUUUGCUUAUGUGUCACAUAUUUAAUGAAGAGAGAGGUGCUUGUGGUAACUAGCUAAGUUACCGAAACAUCACACACUCCAAGAAACAAUGAGUCUAUAACCUAAUAAAUACAUUGUUGCAUGACACUACAUAGAUGUUCCUACCCACUGUGGAGAUAGUAACAUAGUCUAGGGAAGUGUGUAAGUUACUAGACUAUGUUCUUGCCCAUUGUGACCAGCCUAACUAAAUCAUAUUUGCUACGUCUGAACUCUCCCAGGACAACAAGCUCGACGAACAAGAAGCACUGCAUCUGGAGGCAACUGUUGUGUGCCGUCAAGAUAGCAACGUUCAUGCAGUUCUUAAUGGCAAUGCUUGUUGAGCGAUGAUUAUUAUAGUCCUUCAGACUUACCCUUGCCCGUCAUGUACCAAAGUUGAUGCAGUUUUCGCUAGCAAUACUUGAUCCUGUGAUAUGAGUGUCUUCUGUGUUAUGCCUGGGAUGUUACAGUUUGACAUGUACUAAAAAAUGCGGCGCUGAUAGUCCAGUUUGACAUGCACUCAAGUAUUUGUUUCUGGAAUGGUUCAUUUUAACAUUUAUGCCAUUUCUUGUGCCUGGUAUGGUCCAGCUUACACGUACUCACAUAUUAGUGUGUGAUGGUCAUGUUCA
rnacentral:lncRNA from 1 species